rnacentral:lncRNA from 1 species
GGGUUUUGCUAUGAAGUUCAGACUGUCCUGGAACUCACUUUGUAGGCCAGGCUGGCCUUGAAGUUGCAGCAAUCCUUCUGCCUCAGCCUCCUGAGUGCUGGGAUUACAGGCAUGCACCAUCACACCCAGUUCAAUCCAUGUUUUUGAGAAGGAGGCAAGAGAGAAAUGACAGCUUCACAGAAGCAGGCUGGACCCUCUUGCAUGAACCGCACCAAAUUUCUCAUACCUUCUCAGAAAGAAUGCCAUGGGAUUACCGUGGGAAAAGAUAUUUGAAAUAUCAAGUCUCAGAACAGGAUAUUGGAGCCCGGAAAUCUUCAUUCAUCCCAAGGCGAAGUGAAUGACUGGCGUACUGUACUGGAAAGGAAAAAGGGACAAAGAAGUGGGAAAAUAUCUGGAAUUAAAAGAAGAAUACAGCACAAAAGAAAGAAAGUUAAAGAAAGAAGGCAAGAAAGAAAGAAAGAAAGAAAAAAAGAAAGAAAGAAAGAAACAAACAAACAAACAAAGAAACAAAGAGAGAAACCCAGAAUUAGAAUUUUGGUUUCCACAUGUGCUGUGCAACCUUACUCAGAUUCCUUCUUUUUCAUAUUUGUCCUUCACUAGAAAAAUUUAAAGGAGCAAAUCUAUCUCAUUUAGAAGUUUGUCGUGAUAUUAAAUGAAAUAAUAAAUUGCUAUGAACAGUACCUGGCAAAAUAAGCCACAUUAUAUCCAAAUUCCAACUACCAAAGUUCCUGUGGAAGUUUUUGAAUUACUAUUAAUGCUGGAGGAAAGCAUUCAAAUGAAAUGAAUGAAAAUAAAUAUGUGAUUUAUAAAUUCAAGUCACAAUCCAAAGGUGAAAUAAAGGAUGUAACUGAGCAUAUUUCAAUUUUUCUUUUCAUUCUGGAUAAUACAACAGCUGUGAGCUUUGAAUAAGACCUAUGGUUAGAAAUGUUCUAGAAGAUUCAGCAAGUGCUGAGAAAUGCAAGAGAUUUAUAGAAUAGAUUUCUCCUUGAGGCCUUGAAUUUUUAGGAAAUUUGAAAGAAUACCAACAUCAUGCCUGGUCUUGGUUGUCAAAUGCCUGGUGAAUAUUUUUAGGAAGCGUCAGAUGUCAUUAGUGGACUUGAGUUCCUACAAGGUAUGACAUAUAGUCAUUCCCUUGAGUUUCAAAAGAGCCAUCAUAUUUAAGGGGAAAUGGAGGGAAAAAGAGAGAAAGAAGCUAUACAGAAUAAAAU